rnacentral:rRNA from 1 species
UACGUAGGGUGCGAGCGUUAAUCGGAAUUACUGGGCGUAAAGCGUGCGUAGGCGGUUCCUCAAGUCCGUUGUGAAAGCCCCGGGCUCAACCUGGGAAUGGCAGUGGAAACUAGGGGACUGGAAUCUGGCAGAGGGGGGUGGAAUUCCACGUGUAGCGGUGAAAUGCGUAGAGAUGUGGAGGAACACCAGUGGCGAAGGCGACUCUUUGGCCUGUAACUGACACUGAGGCGCGAAGGCGUGGGGAGCGAACGGG